rnacentral:lncRNA from 1 species
GGGAGAAGAGGCGAGGGGGGCGGGGGAGCGGGAGGCGGCGAAGAGGGGCGGGGGGAGGCCCUGCGCAUGCGUGCCAGCGCCCAUGCAAAUCUGCUGUACAUCCAGGGAGCGAAGUGGGAUGAUCUGUCACUACACCUGCAGCACCACGCUCGGAGGACAGCUCCUGCUCGCAGCUUCCAGACUCAGGUAAAAAAAAAAAAAAAAAAAAAAAAAAAAAUUGUGAGCGGGCGCCGUGCAUGCAUUUCAAUACCAGAUGCGCGUCGCAACCUAGCCCCUGUAGAGGCAAUCUGCUGCUGCUGCUGCUGCUAAGUGUCCUUUGGUGGCUGGUUGCAGCUUCAAGGUUUAAGAAAUCCCAUCUUUCAGGAAGCCUGAGGGGAAGGAAGGAAGUACGGGCGAAAUCAUCAGAUUGGCUUCCCAGAUUUGGGGAUCUGAAGCGGGCCCACGUCUUCCGGCCAACUUCCAUUGAACUUCCAGCACUCGAAAGGGACCGAAAUGGAGAGCAAAGAAAAAGCAUAUGCUGGCUUUUUAGCUGAAACAAACCCCAUCACCAGUGAAUCAGAGGAUGCAGAUAAGUGAAAGUGGGCUUUAUUUUUUUAAGCUUUUUUACUCUUUAUUUUUUAUUUUUUUACUUUUUUUUGUUUUUGGUUUGUUUAAAUUCAAUUUGCCAACAUAUAGUAUUUAAACUCUGCGAAAAAAGGAAAUGAAGCUGCUGUUCUGUGGUUAGGUUUUUUUGUUUCUCUUCUGCUUCCAGACUGCUAUUAGCCUGAGAAGCAGUGGCAAAGCGAUUACUCUGUAGAAAAACAACAACAACAACAACAACAAAACACCCAGAAGCUUUCAGAGGCCAUUCAGAAGAUAACUAAACCCAGCAAAAAUUCCCUUAACCAGAAGUCAGGAGGAUGCAGCAAUGCCAAUCUGCCAAUAAUGUGUCCAUCUCUCCUUACCCCAUUCAUUCCUACAGUUAUCACCCAUGUGAAACAAUUGGGUUUUUCUUCAAUCCUCAAAUACUGAUAAUGUUCAAAUUGGUCGAGCAAAUCUUACACAUUAAUUGGGACAUUCCUUUUCAACUUUUUGGAAACCAAAAACCUAGAUAUGUUUCUGACUUCCAAAAAAAAAAUGACAUAAUUAUUCUGAUUGUUAAAAUCUGCU